UACACCUCACUUAGUCUUUAUGCAUAUGUAUUAUUUAAGUAUACCUCAGUUUUUUAGCUUUAAUUAUUUGAGAAAAAGGUACUUUAUUAUUUUUCUAGAAAGAUGAUAUUUUAUUUUAAUAGUUUUACAUGAAAUUCUAUAUAUUCCAAUAUUAUAUUUUUCUAAGAUAAGAAAAUUGUAAAAUAUGAUAGUCUACCCUACAAAAUAUAAGCUUUUUUGUUACCCCCACCAUACAUUCUCUUUAUUUAAAGGGUACGCUAUUAUAUUACAAUAGUAUUAUUAUAUUAAGGUUGUAUAAUUGAUAUUUUUGUAAAAAAAACCAUAUAUAUUAUUUUUGUUAAUGGAAGGAUCCAUUUAAGUUCUGAAAAUUAUGCAUGUAUAGAUUAAGAAGGACUGUAUAAGUGUAAUAUAUGUGAUCUGAGUAGACUUUAAUAUUCAAAGUAUAUACAGUGCUAAAUCCUGAAAACAUAGCUAUAAUCAUAGAGAGAGAGAUCGAGAUCAGAGAGGAGUGCCAUACAGCAGCCUGAAAAAGUAUUUGAUUAUCGUGAAAUAUCUGAGCUCGAGGCUGGCACAUGGCACAUGGCUCUUGAAUAACAUCCGAUGUGUCUCUCUUGUUUAUAAGAAUUUAAAACCCAUUCAAAGAGAGUGGGUUUUUUUUUGUUUCUUUGUUUUGUUUUGUUUUAUUUUUUUAUGGUUUGUUUGGUUCUUCUGAAGUUGUGAUUUAUGCGUCCCUGGGCCUGUGAACCAGAAUGAAAGAGCCCAGGACAUUGAUGAAGACAAGGAAAGAAGACACCUGAGAAGAACCAGAAGAAUAAAAGUGACAGGUUGGAAUACAACCAUUUGGGACAUUUAUUUUUGUAGAUGAAAGUUUAUUUUACUGUAGAAAUGUAAUGAUCUUCAACUCAAUAUAUCAACAACAAAUGUAAACUUA